GGGGGGGGGGGGGGGGGGGGGGGGGGGGGGGGGGGGGGGGGGGGGGGGGGGGUGGGGGGCGGGCGGGGGAGUGACGCGGAAAGAACUUGCCUCACAGAUAGGGACAACAUUUGGAAACGAAUGCUAAUACCGGAUAUUAUGAUUAUAUGGCAUCGUAUAAUUAUGAAAGCUAUAUGCGCUGUGAGAGAGCUUCGCGUCCCAUUAGCUAGUUGGAGAGGUAACGGCUCACCAAGGCGAUGAUGGGUAGCCGGCCUGAGAGGGUGAUCGGCCACAAGGGGACUGAGACACGGCCCUUACUCCUACGGGAGGCAGCAGUGGGGAAUAUUGGACAAUGGACCAAGAGUCCGAUCCAGCAAUUCUGUGUGCACGAUGAAGUUUUUCGGAAUGUAAAGUGCUUUCAGUUGGGAAGAAAAAAAUGACGGUACCAACAGAAGAAGUGACGGCUAAAUACGUG
rnacentral:rRNA from 1 species